ACGGGGGGUGCGAGCGUUGUCCGGAAUCACUGGGCGUAAAGGGCGCGUAGGUGGCUUUGUAAGUUUGCGGUGAAAGCCCGGGGCUCAACCCCGGGUCUGCCGUGGAUACUGCAAGGCUUGAGUACUGUAGAGGCAGGUAGAAUAUCGGGUGUAGCGGUGGAAUGCGUAGAGAUCCGAUAGAAGACCGGUGGCGAAGGCGGCCUGCUGGGCAGUAACUGACACUGAGGCGCGACAGCGUGGGGAGCAAACAGG
rnacentral:rRNA from 1 species